rnacentral:rRNA from 1 species
GAUGAACGCUGGCGGCGUGCCUAAUACAUGCAAGUCGAGCGAACGGACGAGAAGCUUGCUUCUCUGAUGUUAGCGGCGGACGGGUGAGUAACACGUGGAUAACCUACCUAUAAGACUGGGAUAACUUCGGGAAACCGGCGCUAAUACCGGAUAAUAUUUUGAACCGCAUGGUUCAAAAGUGAAAGACGGUCUUGCUGUCACUUAUAGAUGGAUCCGCGCUGCAUUAUCUAGUUGGUAAGGUAACGGCUUACCAAGGCAACGAUGCAUAGCCGACCGGAGAGGGUGAUCGGCCACACUGGAACUGAGACACGGUCCAGACUCCUACGGGAGGCAGCAGUAGGGAAUCUUCCGCAAAGGGCGCAAGCCUGACGGAGCAACGCCGCGUGCGUGAUGAAGGUCUUCGGAUCGUAAAACUCUGUUAUUAGGGAAGAACAUAUGUGUAAUUAACUGUGCCCAUCUUGACGGUACCUAAUCAGAAAGCCACGGCUAACUACGUG